rnacentral:rRNA from 1 species
ACUCCUGCGGGAGGCAGCAGUGGGGAAUAUUGGACAAUGGGCGCAAGCCUGAUCCAGCCAUGCCGCGUGAGUGAUGAAGGCCCUAGGGUUGUAAAGCUCUUUCACCGGUGAAGAUAAUGACGGUAACCGGAGAAGAAGCCCCGGCUAACUUCGUGCCAGCAGCCGCGGUAAUACGAAGGGGGCUAGCGUUGUUCGGAUUUACUGGGCGUAAAGCGCACGUAGGCGGACUAUUAAGUCAGGGGUGAAAUCCCGGGGCUCAACCCCGGAACUGCCUUUGAUACUGGUAGUCUUGAGUUCGAGAGAGGUGAGUGGAAUUCCGGGUGUAGAGGUGAAAUUCGUAGAUAUUCGGAGGAACACCAGUGGCGAAGGCGGCUCACUGGCUCGAUACGGACGCUGAGGUGUGAAAGCGUGGGGAGCAAACAGGAUUAGAAACCCGAGUAGUCCCAUGAU